rnacentral:tRNA from 1 species
GCCUGGCUGAGUCGGUAGAGCAUGAGACUCUUGAUCUCAGGGUCAUGAGUUCAAGCCCCACGUUAGGCA